UCUCCGUAGGUGAACCUGCGGAGGGAUCAUUACUGAGUGAGGGCUUCGGUCCGACCUCCAACCCUUUGUGAACCAAACUUGUUGCUUCGGGGGCGACCCUGCCGCUUCGGCGGUGCGGCGCCCCCGGAGGAUAUCAAAACGCUGCAUCUUUGCGUCGGAGUAUCAAUCAAAUUGAACAAAACUUUCAACAACGGAUCUCUUGGUUCUGGCAUCGAUGAAGAACGCAGC
rnacentral:misc_RNA from 1 species